UACUUUCUUACCAACCGUAUUCGCCUCGAACUUUCCUUACCGACUGACCGGCAUGUGGCAGCAUCGUCAAUCACGUUCAGCUGAGGGCUCACACGUGGUUUGGAUUAGACAUUCGUUUGUUUUUCAAUUUCCCUCUUUUGGAGGACGUCUGAUUGCGAGGGAUGCAGAACGCGAUGGAGACGGAGACGGAUACGGAGACGACUGAGGUGAAGAGAGUCUUGUCACGCUUCAAGUCAGACACAGGCGAAGUGCUACCCGGAGGUUUGCUCGAUCUACCGGUUGACAUAACCGUCGACAAGUUGCAACUGAUUUGCAACGCUCUUCUCCAAGAGGAGGACCCCGUACCCUUGGCCUUCUUUGUAAACGACACAGAGAUCACUGCUUCGUUGGAGAAAUGUUUGGAAAAAAAUUUCAGCACCAGCGAAGAUGUUGUCGAUAUCGUCUACCAGCUUCAGGCCGUCUUCAAAGUCAGAGCUGUAACCAGGUGUACCGGAUCUCUCGAAGGACAUAAGGAAGCGGUGAUAUCGGUAUCGUUUUCACCAGAUGGUCAGCAUUUGGCUAGUGGUUCGGGUGAUACAACGGUCAGAUUUUGGGACAUCCAUACUCAGACUCCACACUUUACUUGCGAAGGCCAUAAACACUGGGUUUUGUGCAUAGCGUGGUCACCCUGCGGUAAAAAAUUGAUAUCUGCAUGCAAGAAUGGAAGCAUAAUAAUGUGGGAUCCUGAGAGCGGUAAACAAGUGGGAAAGACAAUGAAUGGGCACAAGAUGUGGAUUACGUACCUCAGCUGGGAGCCUUACCACAGCAACCCGGAGUGCCGAUUUUUUGUCAGUUCUUCCAAGGACUGCGACUUGAGGAUAUGGGAUUCGAAGCUUGGACAAACUUCCAGGGUCUUGGCUGGUCACACCAAGAGUGUGACGUGUGUCAAAUGGGGUGGCGGUGGGCUGAUAUACUCUGCAUCACAGGACAGAUCUAUCAAAGUUUGGAGAGCCACGGAUGGGAUAUUGUGCAGGACACUCGAGGGCCACGCACACUGGGUGAAUACGCUGGCAUUAAACACCGACUACGUUCUGAGAACUGGUCCGUUUUACCCGCUGGAAACGUCGGGUGACCUCUCGCUUUUGGAACGGGCAAAAAAACGAUACGAGGCCGUGGGGCAAGAGAAACUCGUCUCUGGCUCCGACGACUUUACUCUAUUCUUUUGGAACCCAGACAAGGAUAAAAAACCAAUUACUCGAAUGACUGGGCAUCAGCAACUAAUAAACGAUGUCAAGUUCUCUCCGGAUGGCCGCCUCCUGGCAUCCGCCUCUUUCGACAAGUCAAUUAAGUUGUGGGAAGGAAGUUCUGGGAAGUAUAUCACCUCGCUUAGAGGACAUGUUCAGGCUGUCUACUCUGUUUCUUGGAGCGCCGAUUCCCGGUUACUUGUUAGUGGUAGUGCCGAUUCGACUUUGAAAGUCUGGAGUAUCAAAACUAAGAAGUUGGCUCAGGAUCUACCUGGACAUGCGGACGAAGUUUAUGCCGUCGAUUGGUCGCCUGAUGGCCUCCGGGUUGCUUCUGGAGGGAAGGAUAAAAUAUUAAAACUUUGGCAGAAUUGAUCGCACACUUUGUUCUCAUGACCUAGACCACCCGUAUCAUCCCUCCUCCCCAUUUAUGGAUGUGUUUGUACAUAUACAAUGGUUAAGCGGCCGCUAUACGGAUGUACUUGAACUUUAUUGAACACGUUAUGAUCUGCCGAAGGAAUUCUGUUGCGAAUUCUUCGGACGUCUCAGACUGUCGGAGUUGGUAAUACGUAAAAUAAAAUAUCAAGAAUUCGGUAAAACGAU
rnacentral:misc_RNA from 1 species